AUCUGCGAAGCCGGUCAGUGGGCACCGCGCUGGCUUUUAAGAUGUGGCAUGUCCCCCCCCCCCCCCGGUGGAGCCAGCUGGUCCUGGGCUUCUCUCUUUUCAGAGCUUUUUCUAUUCUUUUUCUUUUUUUAAUUUUGUUUAUUUUUGAGAGAGACAGAAAGGGAGGGAGGGAGGGAGAGAGGCAGAGAGAGAGGGAGACACAGAAUCCGAAGCAGGCUCCAGGCUCCGAGCUGUCAGCACAGGGCCCGACGUGGGCCUGGAACCCACUGACCGCGAGAUCGUGACUUGAGCUGAAGUUGGACACCUCGAAGUUGCCUCAACCGGCCGAGCCACCCAGGUGCCCCCUGAGAUUUUUCAUUACUGAUUCACUCUCUUUGUCAUAGGUCUCAUCAGAUUUUGUUUCCUCUUGAGUCAGUUGUGGUGGUUUGUGUGUUCUAGAAACGUGUGCACUUCACGUCGGGCAUCUAUGUGUUAGUGUGUAUUCUCACAGGGUCCUUUUGUCUCUGUAAAUAGUAAUAGGUAAACAGUAAUUUGCAGUCAUUCCUGAUUUUUAGGCCGGGACCUUUAUAUGCCCAAUGACUUUUGAUCCGUUACAACAGCUGUUGUUCUUUUUGAUGUUUGAAUGAACUCACCCCUGCCCAGCAGGAUCCAUCGUGCGGCUCCUGCGUCCUGCUGACACAGUUCCCUGACCCUUCGUGGAGGCCUUGCCUUAUGAAGCCUCAAGAUGCCCCAGGCUGGUCACACACACUCCCUGCCUCGACCCGGGAUCCGUUCUUCAGAGCCAAAGCCCACGCGUGCGCGGUCCCUCUACCUGCAUCACCCUGUGGUUCGGCUGUUUAAUCUUUAGGUCUUGACGCCUUCACGGCACCCCCCAGACGUGGCCAGACUUCUCCUUCAGUACUUGCUCUUUGUGGUAUUUAGCACGAGGUGGCUGGCCUGUUAAGGUCUGGGCCUGCUACUCCCGGGGAUGAUCUGAGUCCGGGCCUCGGUGACGCUCGUGAGGCCAGACACCGGCUGCAGUGAUGGAGGUAGACGGGGCACCUGGGGGGCUCAGUCGGCUGGGCGUCCGACUUGGGCGGAGGUCGUGAUCUUGCGGUUCGUGAGUUCAAGCCCCACGUUGGGCUCGCUGCUGUCCGUGAAGAAUCCGCUUCGGGUCCUCUGCCCCUCCCCCACUGGCGCUCUCUCAAAAAUGAAUAAACAUUAAGGAGGAGGCAGGGCCUGGGGUCGUGGUGAUGUUACUGAGCCCCAACCGCAGCUGUGUUUGCUGUCAGUACUCGGCCUUUUCAAGCACACAGUGAAAGAAGAGUAACAAAGAGCCCUGUUUUCUUAAGUCAGCAAGAAUCAGGUUGAAGUCUUGCAGCUAAGAGUCCAAACUUAAAAAAUGAUCUUCUCCAAGCUUUUCAGGAUGUUUGUCCCCCCCCACCUGUUACCAUGACAACCAUACAUAUUGUGAUGAGUUAGUGCCACGAAUCCAGGAGGUGAAGAGGAAGCUUAUGGGAUUUGUCUCCCCCAAGCUUAUGCGUUUCAGUGUUUCGAGAUUAGAUCUCCCAGCCAUUAUAAAGUUCCGGAUGUUUCCCCGAGCAAGGGCAGCCUUGGGGGGGGGGGGGAGGGGUUAAACCCUGUAUGUGCAGGCAGCAGUGCAGGAAGAAUCCAAACAAGUGUGUCUACACUGGCCUGGGAUAUCUUCCUAACUUCUGGGUGUGUUUACUCUGCUUUUGGAUUUUCCCCUUGUUCAUGACCAGGGAUGUCUCUCUAAUUCCAUGGGUCCGUCUACACUGGCCUUGCAGAUCUCCCUCGUUCCCAGGAGUUGCUAUACUGAACUGGUAUGUUGCGGUAAUGCCCCAAAGGUUUCUUUCCUGAUUUGGGCUGCCUUACUAAUUCCCCACUUUGUCUAAACUAACCAGUGAUACCCCCUAAUUCCCUAGAGGUGUCUGCUCUGAACAGGUUGUGCUCUGUAAUACGCAGGCAUGUCUCCCCUCGCCCAGGCUGUCACCCCAUCCCCCCGUGUGGAUCCACCUGUACUCGGGAUGGCUCCCUAAUUAGUCCCUGAUUAGUCCACCCUGCUGUGAUGUGUCUCUAUUGCUCCGAUAUGGGUUGUCUAAUCCCCAGGUGUGUCUGUGCUCACUGGGGAUGUUGGGGAUGUUUCAGUAACUCCCUGUAUGUGUACACUCUUCCCGAAUGUUUUCCUAGCUCUCUGGUCUGCCUAUCCUGACCUGCUAUGGCCGCCUAAUUCCCCAGUGUGUUACUUUGACCUGAUGUCUUCCUAGUUCUCUAGGUGUGUGUCCCUGACCUUGGAAGCCCCCAUAAUAUUCCAAGUGUCUACACUGACCUGAGUUGUUUCCUUAAUUAGCAAACGUGUCUACUGUGGCAUGGGUUUUCUCCCUAAUUCCCCAUUUUUACACACUGACCCGGGACAUGAUUCUAGCUGUCAAGAUGUGUCUCCACUGACCAGGGACGCGUUCCUAAUACCCCAGCUUUGUAUACUGUGUUCUGGGAUCUUUCUCAUAUUACUCAGUUUUGUCCCCCUUGAGUUGGGACAGCUCAUUAGGACCCCCGUUCUGGCUACUCUGCUCCUACUUCCAGUGGAUGUCUGACCUGACCUGGCGUGUAGCAGACAUCUCCAGGUGUGCCGUGACCCCUCACGGCUCUCUUACCUUUAUUGUGUGCACACUGCUUUCUGAUUUCUUUCUCAUUACCUAGUUGUGCUAUCCUGACCCGGGACAUAUCCUCAUUUCCUCAGAUUUGUCUACCCUAACCGGAGAUAGCUCCGUAAUUCCUGAGUUGUGUCGACACUGACCUUGGAAAUCCAGUUCCAUAACUGUGCCAACACUGGCCAGGAAUGUCUCCCUGAUUUCCCAGGUGUGUUUACUGUGACCAAGAUGUCUCUCAAAUUCCACAGGUGUUUCUACACUUCCCUAGAAGGCUUCCGUGGUUCCGCACUGGUGCACACAUUGUACGUGACGUCCCUAGAACUACAGGUGUGUCCUCUCUGCCUCCCUGAUUCUGUAGGUGUGUCUACUCCAAUCUGGAAUGUCUCUUACUCCAGCGUGUAUCUGCCUUAAAGCUGGAUGUCUCCCCAAUUCACGGUGUCCACACUGACCAGGGAUGUCUCCCUCAUUGCCCAGCUGUGUCAACUCUGAGGAUGUCUCCCUCAUUUCUUAGGUGGGUCCACAAUAGCCUGAGAUGUCUCCCUAAUUCCUCCUGUGUGUAAACAGGUCUUGGGAUGUUCUGUUAAAUCCCAAGGUGUGUGUCCUGACUUGGGAUGCCCAAUUCCAUAGAUGUGUCAACAAGGACUCGGGAUAUCUCCUUAAUUCUCCUGUGUGUCUACUCUGACAAGGGUUAUUUACCUAAUUCUUCGGUUUUGUCUGCAAUGAACUAGAUGCCUUCCUAACUGCCUGUGUGUUUACACUGACCUGUGACACAUCUCGAAUUUCACAGGAUUGUAUACCCUGGCUUUGGAUGCCUCCGUGACUACUCAGGUAAGUCUACUCAGACCCGAGAGGCCAGUCUAAUAACCCAGGUGUGUCUCCACUGAUCUGGGAUGUUGGUGUAAAUCCCAAAUUGUGUCUACCGUGACCUGGGAUGUCUCCCUAGUUCCCAGGGUGUGAAUUCUAACCAGUGGUGUUUCCCUAAUUUCUCAUGUGUGUAUCCGUGACCCGGGAUGUCUCCAUAAUUCUCCUUAUGUGUCUACCAUGAUGGGAGAUGUCAAGCUGUUCCUUAACUUUGUCUUUGACCUCAGAUAGCUCCCUAAUUUUGCCCAGGUGUGCCUACCCAAACACGGAUGUCUACCUGAUUACCCAGACGUGUCAACUCUUACCAUGGAUAAUUGCAUAAUUCUCCAGUUGUAUCUACACUGACCUAGGCUGUUUCUCUCUUUCCCCACGUGUGUCCAACACAGUUUGGUUGUCUGCUCAAUUCCCUGGGCCUGUCCACACUGAUGAAGGGUGUCUCUCUAAUUCCUCAGGUUUCAUCACUCUGAAUUGGCUCGUAUCCCUUCUUUCCCGUGUGUUUACCCUGCCCAGUGAUGUCUCCCAAAUUUGCACACGUGUCUACUGUGAUGUGGAAUGUCUCCCUAACUCCCCAGGUUUGUGUUCACUGACCUGACCUGGGAAGUCUCCCUAAUUCCACAAAUGUGUCUACACUGACCUGCAAUACAUCUCUAGUUAUUCAGGAGUUUACCUUAUCAUAGGAUGUUUGCCUAAUUUCACAGGAAUUUCUAUACAAAAUGAGAAUGACUCCCUAGAACCCCAGGUGUGUCUGUUAUUACCUGGGAUGUUUCUCUUAAUUCCUCAGUUGUGCUUACACUGACUUGGGAGAUUUCCCAAAUCCCCCAGGUGUGUCUACACUGACCUGCAAUGUUUCCCUAAUCCCCCAGGUUAAUCUGCUCUUAUCAAGGAUGUCUAAUUCCUUCAUUUCCACUUUGAUCUUGGACGUCUCCCUAAUUCCCUAGUAUUUCCUACCUGACCUGGGAUGUCUCCCUAAUUCCCUAUUUGUGUCUACUUUAAUGUUAGCUGUCACUCUAAAUUUCCGGGUAUUUCUAAUUACCUGGGUAUCUCCCUCAUUUCCCAGGUGUGUCUGAGAUAGCUUCUCAUUGUCCAAGGGGUGUUUGUAUUGACCUUUGAUAUCAUCUUAAUUCCCCAGGUGUGUCUACACUGAACUAGUAAGUCUAAUAGUUCCCUCAGGUAUGUCUGUUUUACCUGAAAAGUCUCUCUAAAUCCUUUGGAAUAUCUAUACUGACCAGAAAUGUUUCCUUAAUUCCCAAGUUGUGACUACACUGAACUUGGAUGACUUCUAAAUUCUCCAAGAAUAUCUAUAUUGACCUAAGAUGUCCCUUGAUAUCUGCCUAAGAUCUCAGGUUGCCUACCCUGACCAGCUAUGUCUCCAUGAUGAGCCCCAUGUGUCUGUUCUGACCUGGAAUCUAGUUCCCGGUUUGGUUUCCUCGGACUUGGGAAUCUUCCUCGUUCCCCAGGUAUGUUGACUCUGACAUUGUAUGUCUCCACAAAUUACUAGGUGCAUCUUCCCUGACCUGGCAUGACUUUCUAUUUCCCAGUUUUCUACACUGACACGAGAUGUCUCUCUUUUCCCUAAAAUGUGUUUACUCUGACCCAAAAUGUUGGAGCUGGUCACCAAGAGGAUGUGACCACCAGCUGAUGCAUGAGCUACACCAGGCAACUGGAGACUCGUCACCCUCCCCACCCCCCGCUCAUUAGCAUGUACCUUCUGCUCACCUUCUCUGCUUUGUUCUCAGAAGCUGCCCCAAGGACAUAGCCUUCGAUGAUGAUCAUGAUGUGGUGUUGAGACCAUCUAGAUGGUAAUAUGUGACUGAACCCAGUUAAGGUUUCUAUUUAAACUUUCAGGGUUUGGUGCGUGGGUGAAGAGAUCUACCCGUCAGCAUCUACCCAAGACAAGCCUUGAAUGUAAGUUCUCUUGCUUAUUAAACCUGCCACCUACCAACCUGGAAUGAUCUGCCUCUUUCUUUGUCUCUCUCUGCCCUCCAGGUAGGAAUGCUGGUCUCAGAUUUCACCUGGGAAGCUCCCAAGGUUGCAACCCUGACUCUCCAGGUGUGUCUACUCUGACAUGGUGUAUCUUCAUAGAUCCACACGUGCUUUUAUCCUGAGUUGGGUGUUUCCGUAUUUCCCUAGGCAUGUUUACACUGACUUCAGAUGAUUCUCUGAUUUCUCAGAUGUGUCUACCCUGAUCUCUAAUAUCCCAAGUAUGUCCAUCCUGGCCUGGAACGUCUACUUUUCAAGAGCGUCUACCCUGACCUGGAUAUCCCGCUAGCUCCCCAGGUGUGUCUAUACUUGACUCGGUUGUCUACACCACUUUGGGAUGUCUCCCUAAUCGUCUGGGUAUGUUUUCUCGAGAGCUAGCUCCUUAAUUCUAGCGGCGUGUCUACUCAAACCUCACGUGCCUCCCUAUCCCCUUGGAUUUUCUGAAAUAUCUCCCCAAUUUCAGGUGUGUCUAAACUCGUGGGGGAUAGAUCUAAUUCUCAGAGGUGUUGACUCUGUGAUAGUUCGCCUUUCUGAGUCUGCAGUAGUGUCUGUCCUGACCAGUGAGGUCUCUCCAGAUCCUCGUGUGUGUCUACACUGACUUGGGAUAAGUGUCUAAUAGUGCCAGAGUAUCUGAACUGGAAUGGGUUAUCUCCUUAAGUCCCCCUGAGUGUCUACGCUGCCUGGGAUGUCUCCCUAAUACAGCAGGCAUGUCUACACUAGGACUACCCUCUAAUUCCCCAUGGGUGUCUACUCUGACCUUGAUGUCUCCAGCAUAUCCCAAGUGUGCUUACAUGGUCUUUGGAUGUUUCGCUAAUACCCCAGGUGUCUGUCCUGACAUGGGUACUUCCUUACCUCCCACAAGGGUCAUUCUAACCUGGGAUGUGUCCCUGGUUAACCGAGGAUGUCUACACAAAACUGAGAUCUCCCCCUCCUUCUCAAGCUAUGACACUGACAUGGGCUGUCGUCUUAUUUCCACAGUUCUGUAUGCGCUGACAUGGCAUGUAUCCCUGACACAAGUGUGUCUGCACUGACCCGGGAUAGCUUCCUAAUUGCACAGGUGUCCGUCUCAAACCCGGGAUAACUCCACACACAUCAGAUGUGUUUACUCUGACCUGGCAUAUCCUCCUAAUUCCUUACUUGUGUCUACACUACCUGGGCUAUCUCCCCAGGUGUGUCAGCACUGUCAUUAGGUGUCCCAUAGCCCUGUCUGUGUAGCAUGGUUUGGGAUUCUCCUAAUUCCCCAGGUAUGUCUACUCUGAACUGGAAUAUUUCACAAAUUCUGCUUGUGAGACUACACUUAGAAUUCAUAUUAACUUCCCAGAUGCAUCUUCCGUGUCCUAGGGCAUAUUGCUAAUUCCAGAAUGGGUCUUCCCUGAUCUUACUUAUCUGCUUAAUCCUCCGGGUCUGUGCACACAGACCUGGGAGGUCUCUAUAAAUUCCCAGGAGUGUCUACAGUGACCUUGGAGGUGUCCUCAGCUUCCCAGCUCUGUGCCUCGGACCUGUGUGGUCUUCCCGGGUCCCGGUUGUGUCUGCAGAGCUUAGUGUCUUCCUUUCCCCAGGUCAGGCCACACCGUCCUGGGAGGUCUCCCUACUUUCCCAGCGUUGUCAGCACUGACCUGGAACGUGUCUAAGACCACAGAUGUGACUACUGUGACCUAGGAUGUCACUGGCGUUUCUGCUCUAACCUGUGAUGUCUCCCUGUUCCCCAGUUCUGUUGAUCUUGACAUUGGCAGUCUCCUUAAUUACACUAGUGCAUCUACUCUGACCUACUGAUGGUUCCCUGACUCCAUGGUAUGUCACACUGAGAAAUGAGGUCUCUUCUUACCUGGCAGGUCUGCAUACUUUCCCGUAUGUCUCUACUCAGACCUUGGAUGUCUUUUUAAAUCUCCAGGUAGGUCCGCGCUGACCUGGAGUAUGACCCUCAUCCCUCACGAGAGUCUGCACUGACCUUGGAUUUCUUCCUGUCUCCUCUGGUGUGUCUUCUCUGUCCAGAUAGGUCUCCUUAAAUCCACUGGUGUGUCUGUUGUGACCUGGGUUGUCUCCUUAAUUUCCAAAGUAGAUCUCCGCUGACCUUGAAAUACUAUUUCCCCACGUUGGUCUACACUGACCUAGGAGGUCUCUAAUUCUUACUGCGGGUCUUUUGUGACUUGGCAUAUCGAGCUGUUCCCAAGGAGUGUAUAUCCUGACCCGGUGCGUAGCCAGAAGUCCGUAGGUGUGCCUCCACUGACCUGGGCUGUCUUUAUACUUUC